rnacentral:lncRNA from 1 species
ACCAUCCAGCAUUAAAAUAAAUCAUAUAUUGGCUGGUAAUCAGCAUUCAACAGCACAUCAGUCAUAAAAUAGCUAUACUCAGAGCAAAUCAGCUCUAAAAGAACUGCUCUAAAAGCAGCUGAGAUAGUGCUAAUUUAUUGCUGCUACUAGCAACACUGCUAGAAUUUUAUAUCUACAAACUGGCAACACGGGAUUGAGUUGCCCAAGAGUGAAUGAGAGAGCACUAUAAAACAGAAACAAAAGUAAUUCUUACUCUUUCAUCCAUUCAACAAAAACAAACCAGUGGUGAAGAAGAAUAGCAAAAAUCUGAGGAUUUAUUUUGUGCUUGGAAAACUAUAAGAACUGGUUUUGUACCUGUUCUUUUACCAAAUAGACCGUUCCGAAGGCAAACAGAUCCGCGGACAAAUCCGGUGCAAAAAUAUGUGGAAUGAAGUUUCCUUGCUCAUCCUGGAGCAUCCGCCUUGGUGUAACUGGUCCUCGGAGGAUAUGCAGACGAGCAGUGGCGAGGUUUUGGUCAUGUUUUGACUAAAAAAUCGAAAAGGUCGAACCGAGACUUUGUCGGAGACGAUGCCGGAUACCUUCAGCGUUGGACAUUGCGGAAGGAUUUAAAGUCUGGAAUGUCCAGUUCUGUGCUUCAAGACCAGCAGUAAUGGAGUGUUCGCUAGGUUGUAGGUCCAGGAGAAGUAUUGGCCGUAAAAAGUUAGUGUUGGAUGAUUCUAAAUAGGGCAUUAAUUAUCGAAUAAUAAAUUGAUUUGAGUUGUA